CACCAAAAAAUUCCCCCCAUUACUGUUCACCCAACUUUGAAAGGGCAAGAAGUGUACCCCCUAAAUCAAUUUUGAAUAGCCAUCCCAUAUUCCUCCUCCUCCGCUGAAUCUCGAUCCAUCGGCUCCUGCUGAUGUUACUGCUCCUCCCACCACCAUCUUUUCACUGAAAAUGAUCAACUCACUGGCUCAAAUAUUUGCUCUAUUGGUUGCUAUGAACAGGUCAAAGGCAUAUUUCAAACCCUAAUCAUAAAUCUCCCAUUGAUUUUUUGGCAGUAGUUGAUGAUUGAGUGUAAUCCACCAGCAGAUUCAAACUUUCAUCGUCUUCUGUGGUAAAGUGUGCAACCAAAGAGAACAAUGAUGAACCAUCAACUGAAAUAUUUGUUGAAAUUCGUACAAAGGAAGAGAAGCAAGUUCAUGAAGACACCCAAGAUGCAGUAGUAAGUCAAGCAUGUAAUUUCGUUAACGUCUAGCCAUACUUGUUUGCUGGUUUAUACAUGUCUUGAAUGUAUAAGUGUGUUUCCUUGUUUUGGUUUCUCUAUCCGCAAAUGCCUCUGUCCAUUUCAUAUUUCAGUGGUUUUAUGUCUCAUUUCUAACAAUUUUAUGUUUACAAAUAAUUGGAGUUUCUUUGCUAGGUGAGAUUAGUAGUAUUUAUCACAUUAUUCAUAUGUGUGCUGAUUUGUCUAAACUUGUAGAAGGUGUAUUUAUGGUUCUACCACCAAGGAAGUGAGGUUGUAGUCAUAACUUCCGAACUUUACAAGCAAUUCGUGA